GACGAACGCUGGCGGCGUGCUUAACACAUGCAAGUCGAACGCUGAAGCUCAGCUUUUGUUGGGUGGAUGAGUGGCGAACGGGUGAGUAACACGUGAGUAACCUGCCCCCUUCUUUGGGAUAACGCCCGGAAACGGGUGCUAAUACUGGAUAUUCACUGGUCUUCGCAUGGGGGUUGGUGGAAAGGGUUUUUCUGGUGGGGGAUGGGCUCGCGGCCUAUCAGCUUGUUGGUGGGGUGAUGGCCUACCAAGGCUUUGACGGGUAGCCGGCCUGAGAGGGUGACCGGUCACAUUGGGACUGAGAUACGGCCCAGACUCCUACGGGAGGCAGCAGUGGGGAAUAUUGCACAAUGGGCGCAAGCCUGAUGCAGCGACGCCGCGUGAGGGAUGGAGGCCUUCGGGUUGUGAACCUCUUUCGCUCAUGGUCAAGCCGCAACAAUGGUUGUGGUGAGGGUAGUGGGUAAAGAAGCGCCGGCUAACUACGUGCCAGCAGCCGCGGUAAUACGUAGGGCGCGAGCGUUGUCCGGAAUUAUUGGGCGUAAAGGGCUUGUAGGCGGUUGGUCGCGUCUGCCGUGAAAUCCUCUGGCUUAACUGGGGGCGUGCGGUGGGUACGGGCUGACUUGAGUGCGGUAGGGGAGACUGGGAACUCCUGGUGUAGCGGUGGAAUGCGCAGAUAUCAGGAAGAACACCGGUGGCGAAGGCGGGUCUCUGGGCCGUUACUGACGCUGAGGAGCGAAAGCGUGGGGAGCGAACAGU
rnacentral:rRNA from 1 species